rnacentral:rRNA from 1 species
UUGUACUGUGAAACUGCGAAUGGCUCAUUAAAUCAGUUAUCGUUUAUUUGAUAGUACCUUACUACAUGGAUACCUGUGGUAAUUCUAGAGCUAAUACAUGCUAAAAACCCCGACUUCAGGAAGGGGUGUAUUUAUUAGAUAAAAAACCAACGCCCUUCGGGGCUCCUUGGUGAAUCAUAAUAACUUAACGAAUCGCAUGGCCUUGCGCCGGCGAUGGUUCAUUCAAAUUUCUGCCCUAUCAACUUUCGAUGGUAGGAUAGUGGCCUACCAUGGUGGCAACGGGUAACGGGGAAUUAGGGUUCGAUUCCGGAGAGGGAGCCUGAGAAACGGCUACCACAUCCAAGGAAGGCAGCAGGCGCGCAAAUUACCCAAUCCCGAUACGGGGAGGUAGUGACAAUAAAUACUGAUACGGGGCUCUUUUGGGUCUCGUAAUUGGAAUGAGAACAAUUUAAAUCCCUUAACGAGGAACAAUUGGAGGGCAAGUCUGGUGCCAGCAGCCGCGGUAAUUCCAGCUCCAAUAGCGUAUAUUAAAGUUGUUGCAGUUAAAAAGCUCGUAGUUGAACCUUGGGCCUGGCUGGCCGGUCCGCCUCACCGCGAGUACUGGUCCGGCUGGGCCUUUCCUUCUGGGGAACCUCAUGGCCUUCACUGGCUGUGGGGGGAACCAGGACUUUUACUGUGAAAAAAUUAGAGUGUUCAAAGCAGGCCUUUGCUCGAAUACAUUAGCAUGGAAUAAUAGAAUAGGACGUGUGGUUCUAUUUUGUUGGUUUCUAGGACCGCCGUAAUGAUUAAUAGGGAUAGUCGGGGGCGUCAGUAUUCAGCUGUCAGAGGUGAAAUUCUUGGAUUUGCUGAAGACUAACUACUGCGAAAGCAUUCGCCAAGGAUGUUUUCAUUAAUCAGGGAACGAAAGUUAGGGGAUCGAAGACGAUCAGAUACCGUCGUAGUCUUAACCAUAAACUAUGCCGACUAGGGAUCGGACGGGAUUCUAUAAUGACCCGUUCGGCACCUUACGAGAAAUCAAAGUU